AACGAACGCUGGCGGCGUGGAUAAGACAUGCAAGUCGAGCGCUAAUUUGAAGGUAGCAAUAUUUUCAAGUUGGAGCGGCGCAAGGAUGCGUAACACGUGGGUAAUUUGCCGUGAAGUUGGGGAUAACUUGCUGAAAGGCGAGCUAAUACCGAAUGUGACGUUUGGAAGGCAUCUUCUAAAUUUCAAAGUUGGGGACCGUAAGGCCUGACGCUUCACGAUAAGCCCGCGGCCUANCAGCUAGUUGGUGAGGUAAUGGCUCACCAAGGCUAAGACGGGUAGCUGGUCUGAGAGGACGACCAGCCACACUGGAACUGAGACACGGUCCAGACACCUACGGGUGGCAGCAGUCGAGAAUUUUUCNCAAUGGGCGAAAGCCUGAAGGAGCGACGCCGCGUGGGGGAUGAAUGGCUUCGGCCCGUAAACCCCUGUCAUUUGCGAACAAACCUUACGAUUUAAUAGAUCGUGAGCUGGUUGUAG
rnacentral:rRNA from 1 species